rnacentral:rRNA from 1 species
AGUGAACGCUGGCGGCAGGCCUAACACAUGCAAGUCGAACGGCAGCGGGUCCUUCGGGAUGCCGGCGAGUGGCGGACGGGUGAGGAAUACAUGGGAAUCUGCCCAGUCGUGGGGGGUAACGUAGGGAAACUUACGCUAAUACCGCAUGCGACCUUAGGGUGAAAGCGGCGGACCGCAAGGCGUCGCGCGAUUGGAUGAGCCCAUGUCGGAUUAGCUAGUUGGCGGGGUAAAGGCCCACCAAGGCGACGAUCCGUAGCUGGUCUGAGAGGAUGAUCAGCCACACUGGAACUGGGACGCGGUCCAGACUCCUACGGGAGGCAGCAGUGGGGAAUAUUGGACAAUGGGCGCAAGCCUGAUCCAGCCAUGCCGCGUGAGUGAAGAAGGCCUUCGGGUUGUAAAGCUCUUUUGUCCGGAAAGAAAAGCUCUCGGUUAAUACCCGGGGGUUCUGACGGUACCGGAAGAAUAAGCACCGGCUAACUUCGUGCCAGCAGCCGCCGUAACAC